CCGGGCGCUUCGGAAGGUUUUUUUUUUUCUGUCUCCUUUGCAUUUUGCAAUGUGGAAGUGCUGCAGCAUCGCACUUCUUACUUUUUUGUUUUUUUGUGUGAUUUUGGAGCUUUUAAAUUUGCAGAAGGGCAUGGGGUUUUCUUCUAGAUUUUUCUCUGCUUAGGGUGUGUUUUUCAAUUUUUCCCAUAACAGCUUGGUGGAUUGAGGAGGGACUGUCAAAGGUGGCUACAUUUCCUCUUGUUUCCCUUUUACUUGCGAUGGCCAGUCUUUCUGCGGCUGGUUGCUCUUCUUGUUGCAACCUCAUUUGCAGUUGGCGGUUAUAGUGCAUGGUUUCAGAUCCUUACGGCAAUGCGGUGGUAGUCGAUCACUUCACGAUUAUGAUAUUGUUCGACGUCUGCAGUCGGAGUUAGCGUGGCAAGCUAUUGAAAUCUACUCAAGUUAUGAAUGCAGACUGGCCUGGUUAGUGGAGCUCAAGACCGACGGCAACUUGUAUCACUUCUAUCCACCUGAAUUCAAUCCAGAAUUUGUUGAGGCGAUUUUUUGGCUUGGAGGCGUUGACUCAUCGCUUUCGAUCAAUUGCGAGCAUUGAAAUUCGGCUUGAAGUUACUGGACAGAGCUAAACUAAGUCAAUAGCAGUGGAUUCUGGGAGGAUAUGGUGUUAUUAGUGGUGCGGUGUCAUCGCUUGUAUUGGGGCAAAUCCCUGUGCCUUGUGUGCUGAGCAGUUGCUCAAUUGAUUCUUCUCUUAUUUUUUGCACGUUGCUGCUAUCAAUGCCUCUUUCACUAAAUGUCAUUGAUGUUGGCUGGUAGCCGACUCUUCUUGGCUGUGUUUAUUC